rnacentral:rRNA from 1 species
UACGAGAGCCUCGAGCGUUAUCCGGAAUUAUUGGGCGUAAAGGGUGCGUAGGUUGUUCUGUUAGUCUUUUGUUAAAACCCCGAGCUUAACUUGGGGAUCGCGAAAGAAACGGCAGGACUUGAAAGUGCGAGGGGCGUACGGAACUCAUGGUGUAGGGGUGAAAUCCGUUGAUAUCAUGGGGAACACCAAAGGCGAAGGCAGUACGCUGGUGCAUAUUUGACACUGAAGCACGAAAGCGUGGGUAGCGAAUGGG